AGAGUUUGAUCCUGGCUCAGAACGAACGCUGGCGGCAGGCUUAAUACAUGCAAGUCGAACGGUUGUAGCAAUACAGCAGUGGCAGACGGGUGAGUAACACGUGGGAACCUACCUAGGGGUACGGAAUAACUCAGGGAAACUUGUGCUAAUACCGUAUACGACCUCAGGGUGAAAGAUUUAUCGCCCCUAGAUGGGCCCGCGUUGGAUUAGCUAGUUGGUGAGGUAAAAGCUCACCAAGGCGACGAUCCAUAGCUGGUCUGAGAGGAUGAUCAGCCACACUGGGACUGAGACACGGCCCAGACUCCUACGGGAGGCAGCAGUAGGGAAUCUUGGACAAUGGGCGAAAGCCUGAUCCAGCCAUGCCGCGUGAGUGAUGAAGGCCUUAGGGUUGUAAAGCUCUUUCGCCAGGGAAGAUAAUGACGGUACCUGGAUAAGAAGCCCCGGCUAACUUCGUGCCAGCAGCCGCGGUAAUACGAAGGGGGCUAGCGUUGUUCGGAAUUACUGGGCGUAAGGCGCACGUANGCGGCGAUUUAAGUCAGAGGUGAAAGCCCGGGGCUCCACCCCGGAAUAGCCUUUGAGACUGGAUUGCUUGAACAUCGGAGAGGUGAGUGGAAUU
rnacentral:rRNA from 1 species